GUGCAAUCCGAAUCCUCAGGUUGCGUCCGAGUAUUAUCAUUCCAACAAUCAAUCCCGGCGCAGCCACGAUUUCCCUGGUGUUGGCGCAGUAUUCGCGCACCCCGGCCUGGCC
rfam:Yokenella regensburgei ATCC 43003 genomic scaffold Scfld129, whole genome shotgun sequence.